rnacentral:rRNA from 1 species
AGAGUUUGAUCCUGGCUCAGGAUGAACGCUAGCUACAGGCUUAACACAUGCAAGUCGAGGGGUAGCACGGAGGAAGCUUGCUUCCUUGGGUGACGACCGGCGCACGGGUGAGUAACGCGUAUCCGACCUACCCAUAACUCGGGCACAGCCGCUCGAAAGAGUGAUUGAUUCCCGAUAUGUCCUUGGAGUAGAUUCAAUGAUGAAAGAUUCAUCGGUUAUGGAUGGGGAUGCGUAAGAUUAGGUAGUAGGCGGGGUAACGGCCCACCUAGCCGACGAUCUUUAGGGGUUCUGAGAGGAAGGUCCCCCACACUGGUACUGAGACACGGACCAGACUCCUACGGGAGGCAGCAGUGAGGAAUAUUGGUCAAUGGGCGGAAGCCUGAACCAGCCAAGUAGCGUGAAGGAUUACAGCCCUACGGGUUUUAAACUUCUUUUAUAUAAGAGUAAUGUGCUCUACGUGUAGAGUAUUGCAAGUAUUAUAUGAAUAAGCAUCGGCUAACUCCGUGCCAGCAGCCGCGGU